CCAACGUGGUACAAAGCCCAUCAGUUAUACCGUUAAUGUUCACAUCUGGCAGUUCACAACAAAUGAAGACCAAAACGGUCAGGCUGGCUGACAGUGAUGUACAAAAUCAGUGCCGCUCUGGCAGUCCUGUGCAGAACUGGCUACAGAAUAGACUGACCUGAGACCUUGGAGCCAAAUUCACUCUGUGUUUAAAUUCACUGAGCUAAACCACUAGACACAAUCAGUCUUAAUGUUCUUAAAAUGCGAUUGCCUCGUCUUCGAGCAGUCAGUUUCCUUGGGGACAAAAAGAAAAUGUGACACUGUCCUCCAAUGACAAUGACAGACACCGUCCUUCCAUUGCUGCCGUUCCGGACACGGUCAGGCUGCUUCUAUCAGAUACACAGGCAAAGAAACAGAGAGCGGUGUUAAAUCUCAGCUGCGUGUGAGAAAGCAAACAAAGCAGGAAUGACAAACAGGUAUUUCUGCCUGGUGAAACACAGACCUGCAGCCUCCCACCCGCUCUCAGGUUACCGAGGGGAUGACGAUGAGUACCAAUACUGCAUUGUAUCAGGGAUUGCAUAUACUUUCUAUAUUUACUCUCUAACAGCAGGUUUAUACUUUGCAAACUAUUCCACAAAAGGAAAGCCUGUGGGUUAUUCACCAGUGAUAAACAUUGACACAAACAGAUCACGUACGAAACCAAAGGGUUUGGGCUGCAAUACCCCAUCACACAAAGAGUUUUUCUACUUCUGCUUUCGGUAUGUUCAAGUGCUAUAAAGUCACCUUCUAUCACAUAUAAACUAAAUACAAAGGAAACACAACAGCUCUCGGGUGGUAACGGACUACUUCGGGUAUAUAUCGAAGUUCAAGUAAUGACCAGCAAAGUUUGUUUUCAGGAACAAAACAACACAGCAGUUUGAGGCGAGACCACCAGCAGAGAGCUGUCGGAGGACUACAGGAACAGACACCGAUAGAAAUGGGACGGGAUCUCCACACUAAGGCACGAGAGAAUUCAUACUCGAGUAUGGCUAAAACCUUAUUUCCUACAGCAUUGAGUGAGCGGGGUCACAGGGAGUGCUCCUACGCUCCAAACACUCGGCUACGACAUCGGAAUUCCAGCUUUUUGGAACAGUC
rnacentral:lncRNA from 1 species